CCUUCGAUAGCUCAGUUGGAAGAGCGUGAGACUGUAAUGGUUACACCCGCUUCAUUCGCGAGGAUGGCGGCGCGAUCUCAAGGUCACUGGUUCGAUCCCGGUUCGAAGGA